rnacentral:rRNA from 1 species
CCUACGGGAGGCAGCAGUGGGGAAUAUUGGGCAAUGGAGGAAACUCUGACCCAGCGACGCCGCGUGCGGGAUGAAGGCCUUCGGGUUGUAAACCGCUUUCAGUAGGGAAGAAGCGAAAGUGACGGUACCUACAAAAGAAGCACCGGCUAACUAUGUGCCAGCAGCCGCGGUAAUACAUAGGGUGCAAGCGUUGUCCGGAAUUAUUGGGCGUAAAGAGCUCGUAGGUCGUUUGUUACGUCGGAUGUGAGAACCUGAGGCUCAACCUCAGGCCUGCAUUCGAUACGGGCAAACUAGAGUUUGGUAGGGGAGACUGGAAUUCCUGGUGUAGCGGUGGAAUGCGCAGAUAUCAGGAGGAACACCAAUGGCGAAGGCAGGUCUCUGGGCCAAUACUGACACUGAGGAGCGAAAGUCUGGGGAGCGAACAGGAUUAGAUACCCUGGUAGUCCAGACCGUAAACGGUGGGCACUAGUUGUGGGAACCUUCCACGGUUUCUGCGACGCAGCUAACGCAUUAAGUGCCCCGCCUGGGGAGUACGAUCGCAAGAUUAAAACUCAAAGGAAUUGACGGCUGAGAGNGCGAGACGACGACGAGGAGAG